GACAGAGGGUGCAACCGUUGUUCGGAAUUAUUGGGCGUAAAGAGCUCGUAGGCGGUGUGUCGCGUCGGCCGUGAAAACCUGCAGCUUAACUGUGGGCUUGCGGUCGAUACGGGCAUCACUGGAGUUCGGCAGGGGAGACUGGAAUUCCUGGUGUAGCGGUGAAAUGCGCAGAUAUCAGGAGGAACACCGGUGGCGAAGGCGGGUCUCUGGGCCGAUACUGACGCUGAGGAGCGAAAGCGUGGGGAGCGAACAGG
rnacentral:rRNA from 1 species